rnacentral:rRNA from 1 species
UAGGGAAUCCUCCACAAUGGGCGAAAGCCUGAUGGAGCAACGCCGCGUGUGUGAUGAAGGGUUUCGGCUCGUAAAACACUGUUGUAAGAGAAGAAUGACAUUGAGAGUAACUGUUCAAUGUGUGACGGUAUCUUACCAGAAAGGAACGGCUAAAAUACUUGCCCG